UACGUAGGAGGCAAGCGUUAUCCGGAGUUACUGGGCGUAAAGCGCGUGUAGGUGGAUUGGUAAGUUACUUAUAAAAGCUCCUGGCUAAACUAGGAGAGGUUGGGUGAUACUGCCAGUCUUGAAUAGAGGAGAGGUUGACGGAAUUCCGCGUGUAGUGGUGAAAUGCGUAGAGAUGCGGAAGAACACCAGUGGCGAAGGCGGUCAACUGGCCUCAUAUUGACACUCAGACGCGAAGGCAUGGGUAGCGAACGGG
rnacentral:rRNA from 1 species